CAACGCCGCGUGGAGGAUGAAGCCCCUUGGGGUGUAAACUCCUUUCGAUCGGGAAGAUAAUGACCGGUACCCGAUAUAACGAAAGCCCCGGCUAACUUCGUGGC
rnacentral:rRNA from 1 species